rnacentral:lncRNA from 1 species
AAGGCAGCAACUGGGAGUUCUCAUUGUGGCUCAGUGGACACAUGGAUGGCAUCCAUGAGGAUGUGGGUUCGAUCCCUGGCCUCCCUCAGUGGGUUAAGUAUCCAGCAUUGCUGUGAGCUGCGAUGUAGGCUGCAGACGCAGCUCAGAUCCCACAUUGCUGUGGCUGUGGUGUAGGCUGGCAGCUGCAAUUCGGAUUCGACCCCUAGCCUGGGAACUUCCAUAUGCCACAGUAGCUGCUUUGAAAGAAACAAAUCAGAUUUUUGAUUAAAAAAUAAUGAGAGGGCAGUCUACGGUAUUUAGGGUGGCUAAUAAAGGCCUCUCUGAAGUUUAAGCUGAGACCUGAAUGAGCAGCCAACCAAGAAAAACAGCCCCUUGGAGAGAAAAGGUGGAUCUAAGCGUAGGGAGCCUCAGUUUUAAAACAUUCUGGUGGUGUAUGUAGGAGCCACUGGGAGGCCGGUGUAGCCGGAAUGUAUGUCACAGGGAGAGUGGCCCAAGAUGAGGUUAGAGGUGGACCUUGUCACGCUGAGUCUAUAGGUCACGGUGGGGAACGUGGACCAUUCCAAGCAGGGAAGGGACAGGAUCUGUUCCAGGCAAGGAGCCCUGGGGGAUCCUCGGACCCUUGCUCUUGGCAGGGACCGAACAGUACGUGUUGGUUUGUUUUAAUGGCUAUUUGGUGGAGAAUGCAUUUGAGUGGACAAGAGACAUUUUAGGAGACCCUCGCCGUACUCCAAGCGGUGGUGGCUUGUGCCCUAGUAAUAGCCAUGGACGUGAAGAGAAGUCAAAGGAUGCGAAACAUACUUGAGGAGCGGAACUGAUAAGACUGCAAAUGAACUGAAUGUGCGUAAUGAGGAAAAGUGGAAGCCAGCCAAAUAUUAGACGACUGGCAUUGCCACUUACUGAGCUAGGGAAGGAUGAAGAGGGAACUGGUGAUGGCGGGCGAGGGCAUAUAGAGUUACUUUUGGGACAGUUUAAGUUUGAGAUGCUUCCGAACCAUGAGUCGGUUUCUGAGUCUGUCUAUCAAGGGAGAGGGCGGAGGCAGGAAUUCAGAGGAAGAGGUUGGCCCUGGUGGAACAGCUGAAACUCUAGCUGGGUAUUUAAGGAAGAGAAGAAUUUAGAGAAUUAGGGGAGGAAGAAGCCACUCAGGGUACUGAGAGCUAGAGGUUGAUCUAACUGGAACAACAAAUAAUAAGCUUAGCUGCUUAGAGAUUUCUUGUAGGAAAAUGUUGAAAAGAACAUGUUGGAGAAAUAAGUAGGAGCCAGAUUGAGAGGAAUUUAAAUUCAAGCUAAUGUGGUUCUUUGUUUUGCUUAAUUUUAGGGAGCCCUCAAGGGUAAGUGGGUAGAGACGUGGAGAGGUAGGUGUUGUGUGACUGCGGGGUGUCAUUAAAACGACGUGUCAGUUUUGGAGGCAGGGAAAACCUUCGGCUGAUGUGAUCUCUUGGGAUAUCACUGCGAUAAUUGUGGUGUGAACGGAUGAAAGUUUGGGCUGAGACGAGGACAGAAACAGGAAGGAAGAGAAGGAUAAGUAACAUGAAAAAUAGCUGGUGCCUGAGACAUCAAGGGGGGAGGAGAAACAGAGGAAAUGAUUGGGUUACCACUAUGGAUGGGUUUUUUUUUUUUUCCUUCCUUAACCAACCAGGACACAUUGGCAACAUCUCCAAGCAGCGCACAGACCUGUGCCUUGCACUAUACUUUUGUUUCCAUGUGGCUGGCAUGGAUCUACAAGGCAACAGUGGGAGACAUCAGACAGAGCUAGUGAUUGCUGGGCCAGAGAAGGUCCAGCAUAGAAAUAAGGAAUGCUGAAGGAUAAGAUUAAUAUCUGCAAAAUCUACACUCUGAGCAAAGAAAUAUGCACAAUGAAAUAUGUCAUGCACUUCCCUUCUCCCCCAUAGCAUAGCAAUUGCUAUUUUCCGGUUCAAUUUCACACGAGGCCUUUUCUUUCAUGGGAAGGGGACAGUUACCAAGAAGUAAAUUUUGCAAAAGUACACAAAAUAAACAAUGGAAAAAAUAUUGUCACCAGCAGACGCUAGCUGAAUGACAAGACAGAUUGUCAGUUUUACUUCUGAUUUUGACGUUCUUGUUUUUGUUAUAUUGUUCAAACAGUACCUGGCCUAGGGCAGUUCUUUCCCUUUUGUGUCCUGGUUUUACCAUCCACAAAAGGGAAUCACCUGAUCUAGGGAGGUGCCAGCGAGUUGUAUUUGAGUGUAUAUGUGUGCAUGCAGAAUAAUACAUAUUCUUAUAAGGAACUUAGAAAAUAUAGAAGAAUAAAAUAGACAGUAAAUACUGACAAAUGGGACUGAGCAAAACAAUAUUAAACAUAAUGCAUCCUUUCCAAAGCAUCAUAUUCCAACCAGCAAGGAAAGAUUUAAUGGUAGUAAUAAGUGACUUGCUCACACACUAUGACGGGUAGGAAGAGUGGCCCUCAUGAUUCAUUUUAAUAACAAAUGAAAAGAUAGGAUGGAUGCACACCACUGCCUUCCAUGGUGCCCACCUUCAUUCCACUGGUGACUGACAAAUUAUUCUGUAGCGCACCUAGGAAACAAUAUCAAACCCACUCCUAAUCAUUCAUCACGCGAUGGCUGUCCUGUCCGCGGGAACUCCAGUUAUAUUUAAUGCCCACUUGCCUUCAGUAAUUGCUGCUUCAUUCAGAGUGAAGUUAUCUAUUCUGGGUUUUGCAGAGACACCUGCAAUAAAAGCCUCCAGUUCUGGUCCUUCCAGAUUGUUAUGCGGGGGAUUCUGCCAUAAUGGAUCCUGCAAUAAAUGGGUGAAGAGCUGUCCUGGCUAAGGGGGCUGACAAGUUUAUUAUUAAACCGUAAUGAAGAGAUGUCGCAAAAAUCUCACGUGUACUUAAUGUCUGGUCUCGGGAGAGAGGAUCUCUGUAAAUUGCAGUUCCCCCUUGGCAUCGUCCGUGUUUUCUCUGGAUCCUGUAUCAACGAGCCCUCGUGGGGUCCCACAUUUCAGCAAAUCGCCCUGCUUCCCCCCACCUCUCUACACACUUUUUAUAUUCUCCAUAAAUAGCACCUGGUCCUGCAAUUCAUCUUCCACGCCUCAUUCAUUCUAAAUCUCAGCUUCUUGGCCCUGCUUCUGCCGUAUUAAAAUACUUCCCAAGGCAAGCUCAUGUUGAAAAAGAAAAUCAAUGGUUCUGAUUCAUCUGAUAUGAGCUUCUGGGUGUUUGGAUAAUUUAUUGUUCACUCUCAGGCAAUACCCCUGUGAUACCAUCAUUAAAUAUUAAAGGCGGUUUAAGGGCACUCUGCUUAUCAGGAAGCACUGCCCUGUUAACAUCAGGGAGAAUGAUGCUCUCCCUCCAGGGAGAAUGCCUGAAAUUUUUUAAACGCCAAGCCUGAAAACCUCGGUGUGCUACUUUGACAGGGUGGUGAAGAGACUGAGUCAGGGAGGUCAACCAGAAGGUCAUUGUCCAUUCUACUUCCUGACGCUGCAAAACGGCCUCGUGAGCAGGCGUAGGCCUUUAAAUGACAUGGAGAUCUAGGCCUCCAGGGUACCAGGAGCUGGGAGAAUCUGUCCAUGAAAACUGUCCAUGCACCGAUAUAUACAGGAACCCACCUUCUGGAAAGUUCCGGCAUAUGCAGGGCUGGUCCUGAAGCUUCACUGGCUACCACAAGCCUUGCUAUUAGCAUGGGCCUGUGGAGAUACUCAGAUCUAAAUCUCAUAUUAAAUAUCGGAAGAGAAAGAAAACCAGAGAACUUGGGUACUUCCUAGGUGUAAAGAGAGACUAUUUCAGCGGUCAGGUUGCGGAGUUCAUCGUGAAUUUAAGCAGCUGACUCUUUACUAAAACAUGCUGGUGCUUAUCGAGUUCUUUGAUUUUUAUCUGCCUCUAUCACCAUUUCUAUCUUUGCUUCGUAAUGGAACAUUCUUUAAGUAAAUCUCUUGAAGGCGCUGACGUCAAAAGUUGAUGAAGUUGAUAUGGCACAGAGAA